GAAAACAGCAGUGGCACGAGGUAAAGCAAGACCCAUUUGGUGCAACGUUUUAGAGAAAACAGAGUCUAAGUUCCCAAACACAACGCCUUCUUGUGUGUCUUUGACUCUGAUCUUCUCCAUUCCUGAGAUAAACCCUAUUGUCUCCUCCAUACGCUCACCUACUUCUGAAAAUUAGAAUGGAGACAUUUCUUUUAAAAAUCCCUCGGGGGAUUAUUGUGGAACAGGCAGGUUUACUUGCCCUAUAAGGCAUCUAUAGUUGCAAUAUUGAAAUUUCAAUGGAAUCGUAAAGCAAGAAAAGAUUUGUGUAUACCUUUGACACCGACGUUUUCUCUGAUGGCAUCUGUGUAGAGAUGAGCAGUGAGCGAGGUUGCUCCGCCUCCAUAGUACGCAACCCACGACGCUUUCAUCUCCGCAGCCGCCGUCUCCGCUGCUAACCAGAGGAACGCAUCCGUAAGGAUGCACUUGAACUUCCUACCAACUUCGGUCUCGGCCGCCUUGAUUUCUCUUCGGAAAAUCUCUGGCGCCGCUUCAAGAAACAGCUCAACAGCGUGCUGUGGAUUCCCCGUCAACACGAAUCCCUCAGGAACACCGUCAUCGACGUUGUGGACACGAAUGUUUGUGGGGAUAUCGGAGGAGAGUAACGACGAGUUGGAUCGUGCGGUGCUGAAGAAGGAGAAGACGGUGGAGGGAGCAGCGGUGGCGAGACGGCACGUGACGGCGAGGAGAGGAGCUGCAUGAGUGCCGAAGGGGAAAACGAGAACUGCCACGUGGGAGUCUCGCGUUGGCUGCGAGGGUUUGGCCAUGAUGCAGGCAAUGCUAAGGAGAGAAUAAUGUGCGUAGUUACAUUAAAUAGAAGUACGCUAAAGAGAGAAAAAUGUGCGUAGUUACAUUAAUCAAAUAGAAGUAUGCUAAAGAGAGAGUAAUGUGCGUAGUUACAUUAAAUAGAAGUACGCUAAAGAGAGUUCGUACGCUAAAGAGAGUUCGUAGAUGAGCCACCGAGCAAGUAUAGACUCUUUCUCUCUUAAUCAAAUUUAAGUAUACCUUUAUUUUGUCCUUUGUUUAUGUCCCUGCUAUAUUGUUUUGGUAGGUAGAAUUUGUGGUUCUUAUAUUAUAUGGUGAGUUUUCUCAUCAAGUCUCAUCUGUCUUUCAUUCAAUGUUCUAAAGUAAGCCCCUAGAUCGACAGACGUAUAGAUAUUUUUUUAUAUGGAGACUAGUCUACACGAUAGAUAUUUUUUUCUCAAAACAUAUAUCUACCGACAUACAAUUUGUUUAGAUAUGUAUAUAUUAAUUACAAAGUUACCAUAACAGAAAAAAAUAAAAAAUAAAAACAAAGGAUAAAGAUUCUCACUUUCACUUUUUUUUUACAAAAAAGGUCUUUUCAUUUUCAUUCCAAAACAGAACAUGUUUAUUUGUUUAUUUAUCCAAAGUCUAUUUGCUUCAAACUUUCAUAACUUCGUCCAACAAACCUUUGAAAUUCUCAAAGGAGCUUCCUUCCGUAGAGACAGCUUCUUGUGCUAGUUCUUUAAGCUUCUUGGCAUUAAACUUCAUCUUCUUGCCAUCAUCUUGAACCAAAACCCGAUCCAAACUCUCCUCAAAUCCAUCCUUCGUGAAGACUCCACUACUAAUCGUCAUUCCAAUUUCCCACACAGCCUCCACGGAUCUUGCAUUGAGUGCGUGAUCCCCGAAAAUCGGUCUACAAAUCAUUGGUACACCUGCCGAUACACUCUCCAACACUGAGUUCCACCCACCAUGCGACACAAACACACCCAUUGCUUCAUGGUUUAGCAGCUCCACUUGUGGUGCCCAUGGGACCACCAUUCCUUGCUCUCUUGUCCCAUCCAAAAACCCUUUUGGUAAAUGAACCAUGUUCUUCUCUUGGAGCGACCAAACAAAAGGCACUUUACUCGAUUCCAAUCCUUGUGCUACCACUACAAGCUCUCCAGGAGGCGGUGUCAUGACUCUACCGAAGGCAAUGUAAACUACAGAAGCAGUGGACCGCUUCUUGAUCCAAGCCAAGCAGCCGUGUGGAUCAUGCAAUGGUGUUUCUCUUUGCGAAGUAGAGAAUAACAACGCAAGAGGACCGAUGCUCAGGUAACGUUUGAAUUUCAAUCUGAGGUUAUCAGUCAAUGUAGGGUCUAAUUCUUCAAAAGAAUUCAUGUAAACCGUAGUGGCACGAGGCAAAGCAAGUCCCAUUUGGUGCAACAUCUUCGAGAAAACAGAGUCUAAAUUCCCAAACACAACUCCUUCUGGUGUAUCUUUAACUCUGAUCUUCUCCAUUCCAGAAAUACACCCUAAUGUUUCCUCCAUACGCCCAUCUACUUAUGUAAAUUAGAAAGGAUCAUAUCAUUAUCAAAAAAAUAUAUAUAUAUAUAUAUAUAUAUAUAUAUAUAUAUAUGAAUCUUGUAAUUUCUUUUAUUUAAAUUUGAAUAACCUUUAUAGUGACAUAUACAAAUAAUUCUUUUUGUCUCUUUUUUUGGUAAAAAUGACAUAAUUCUUUUAACCUUUGUUUCCCAUUUUAGGAACUUUCCUUUAAUAGCAUGUCUAAUGACAAAGUCACAAGGUUGGAAUAUAUAUAAACCUUUGACAGCGAUUGUUUCUCUGAUGAGAUCUGUGUAGAGAUGAGCAGUGAGCGAGUUCCGGAGGUCCAGAAAGCAACCCACGACACUUUCAUCUCCGCCGCCAUAUCCCCCGCGAACCAGAUGAACGCAUCCGUGAGCAUGCAUGUCACUUUCCUACCAACCUCAGUCUCCGCCACCGCGAGUUCUCUCCUAAAAAUCUCCGGCGCCGCUUCAAGAAACAGCUCGACCGCCUCCUGUGGAUUCCUCGAGAGCACGUAUCCCUCGGGAACACCGUCGGACACGUCAUGGACCCGAAUGUUCGGAGGAAGAUCGGAGGAGAGCAACGAGAAGUUGGAUUGUGAGGUGUUCAAGAAGGAGAAGACGGUGGAAGGAGCUGCGGUGGCGAGACGACGGGUGACGGCGAGGAUAGCCUGACCAUGACUGCCGAAUGGAAAAGCGAGAACUGCCACGUGGGAGUUGGCCAUGGAAGAGAAAGCAAACGUUAAUUAAAGAGAGAAUAUGAAUAUGGAAUGGUUGUGGACCUUGUGGAUUAAAUACAGAAAUACCAUGUAUUGUCGGGUUUUUAAUAUUGUUGGUAGGUAAAAUUCGUGGUUCAUCUUUAUUUCACGUAAGAAAACCCAAAUUUAAUGGAUCUUAUUAAUAUAUAUAUUAUUUGAUUUGAUUGUUCACUAAAUUUAAAUGUUACAAGGGACGACUUUUUGGGUCAUAUAGUUUUGAAAGUUGGAUGGGAGAGAGACUCAAUGACCGACACAUAAACAAAGGAUGAGAUCGAGUAAAGAAGUUGUAAUGUUGGUCACUAGUCCCUGAUGGUAGUAAUACCACGAGCGCUUGACCGGUCUUUUCCUCAAGAUUUUCUGAGCCGUGCAUUCAAGAUCACAGUCCAGCAACCCAAAUUUGCUAUCUCCAUAUGCUCCUUCAUCCAACGUAUCCUUGACAUCACUGCUAAGAUUUAUACCCAUUGGAGAGUUCUCAUCCAUGAACUAUCUUUGCGACUAGUUAACAUAUGAAAGAGAACGACUAGCUGUUGUUAUCACAAAGAGAGAGCUUCCACAUUUCCUUAUGUGUUUUUGUAUUAAGCAACGAUGCCCCCAGAUUGGCUAAGUCCAAUUGUUCGUAUUUAUAAACACUCAAUUUGUAAUUGAGUUUGAUUUACAAGUAUGUUGAGAUUAUAAGAAAUUGUGUGUUCAUAACAAUUAACAACAUCAAACCAUCCUUAUGAAUUCAAAGUAGCUUCCUUUAGAAGACAACGUUCUUCUUCUUCACUAACUCUGUUUUUGUUACCAAUAAUAGAAACUGUUGUUAUUUAUUUGUCCAAAAUCAUUUCACAUUCAAAUAAUGUUUACAACUGCAUCCAACAAUCCUCUGAAAUUCUCAGAGGACCUUCCUUUAGAAGAGACAGCUUCGUAAGCUAGUUCUUUAAGUUUCUUAGCAUUACAUUUCAUCUUCUUACCAUCAUCUUGAACUAAAACUUUAUCCAAACACUUCUCAAACCCAUCUUUCGUGAAGACUCCAUUGAUAAUCGUCAUUCCAAUCUCCCACACAACCUCCACCGCUCUUCCGUUCAAUCUCUGAUCCCCAAAAAAUGGCCUGCAAAUCAUCGGUACACCACCCGAUACACUCUCCAACACCGAGUUCCAUCCACAAUGCGUCACAAACACACCCGUUGCUUCGUGUUUCAGCAGUUCCACUUGCGGUGCCCAUGGAACCACUAUCCCUUGCUCUCUUGUCCUAUCCAAAAACCCUUUUGGUAACUGAACCAAGCUCUUCUCCUUAAGCGACCAAACAAACGGCACUUUACUCGAUUCCAACCCUUCUGCUAUCGCCGCAAGCUCUCCAGGAGGCGGUGUCAUGACCGUACCAAAGCUAAUGUACGCCACAGAACCAGAAGAUCUCUUCUCCAUCCAAGCCAAACAACCGUGAGGAUCUUGCACUAGUUGUUGCAAUGUAGAAGAUAAUAACCCGAGAGGACCGAUGUUCAGAUAUCGUUUAAAUCUCGAUCUGAGGUUAUUCGUCAAUGUAGGAUCCAAAUCUUCAAAAGAAUUGAUGAAAACAGCAGUGGCACGAGGCAAAGCAAGACCCAUUUGAUGAAGCAUCUUUGAGAAAACAGAGUCUAAAUUCCCAAACACAACUCCUUCUGGUGUAUCUUUGACUCUGAUCUUCUCCAUUCCUGAGAUAACCCCUAUUGUCUCCUCCAUACGCUCACCUACUUCUGUAAAUUAGAAUGGAAUCAUAAACAUUACCACAAAUACAUAUAAAUCUUCAAAUCAAUAGUAUCUUAACCUCUGUUUCUUCUUUUAGCUAAAUUUUCCUCUAGUUGCAUAUUUAUUUAUGAGAUAAAAGACAAAAUCACAAGUCGGAAUUGGGAAGCAUUCAAAAAUUUGUAUAUAUU
rnacentral:lncRNA from 1 species